GUGUCAGCAGCCGCGGUAAUACGUAGGGGGCGAGCGUUGUCCGGAUUUAUUGGGCGUAAAGGGUGCGUAGGCGGCCUUGUAAGUCAGAUGUGAAAUCUCACGGCUUAACCGUGGUAAGCAUUUGAAACUGUGAGGCUUGAGUACAGGAGAGGAGAGUGGAAUUCCUAGUGUAGCGGUGAAAUGCGUAGAUAUUAGGAGGAAUACCAGUGGCGAAGGCGACUCUCUGGACUGUAACUGACGCUGAGGCACGAAAGCGUGGGGAGCAAACAGGAUUAGAUACCCUGGUAGUCCACGCCGUAAACGAUGAGUGCUAGGUGUCGGGGGUCAAACCUCGGUGCCGCAGUUAACACAUUAAGCACUCCGCCUGGGGAGUACGGUGGCAACACUGAA
rnacentral:rRNA from 1 species